UACAGGGGGGGCAAGCGUUGUUCGGAAUUAUUGGGCGUAAAGAGCUCGUAGGCGGCUCAGUAAGUCAGGUGUGAAACCUCCAGGCUCAACCUGGAGACGCCACCUGAUACUGCUGUGGCUAGAGUCCGGUAGGGGAGCGUGGAAUUCCUGGUGUAGCGGUGAAAUGCGCAGAUAUCAGGAGGAACACCAGCGGCGAAGGCGGCGCUCUGGGCCGGAACUGACGCUGAGGAGCGAAAGCGUGGGUAGCAAACAGG
rnacentral:rRNA from 1 species